rnacentral:lncRNA from 1 species
AAAUCCGUAACCGGAAUAACCAAAUCGAAUCAAAAUGUGAAAACCAGAACAAAAACACCUGUUUGAUUUCGUUCGGUUUGAAUCUGAAAGCUCUUCUAUUUUUUUUGUCCCAUUGAUAGUGCAGUUGCUAGUUGUGAAUUCUUCUUUUAGCUGGAAUUUUACAGAGAUAAUUAGAUUUGUUAUGAUGAAGAUGAUGAUGAUGAUUGAUGAGUAUCGGUCAUAGAAUCUGUCCAUUUUCACUCUAUGCUUGCGAAUUUUGGUGGAUGAACAACAAAAACAGAAACUUUGGACUUAUUCAUUAAGGUGGAAAUUGUUAUCUUAUUACUGUUUCAACAAGGGCCUAGAAAUAGGAGACACAAACUUUUGUGUGGAUUGUUGUUUUAACUUUGGGAUUUAGCUAUGAGUACGUGCGGAGCAAUGUAUGUUGUUUUUGGUCUCCAGAAUAAUGUGUGUAGUAAUGUAUGUUGUUUUUGGUCUCCAGAAUAAUGUGUGUAGUUUUUUGUUUUUCAUCAAUUAGAACUGCUUAACAUGGACAGAUAAGGCAGUUGUGAGUUGUUUCUCGUGCUCAACACUAUUUUCAAGUGAAUGAUCAAUAUGUGAGAAACAAAUUGAAGAUUUUUCUCUUUAUAUUCAAUCAGUCGUUUUCGUGCUCUUUGCUUAGUGGGCAUUUCUAUACAAUUCACUGUCUCUUGAUUAGCUUUUGUGUUGUUGAUAAGUAUGCACAAGGUUCUUGUUCGACCUGAAUCAUUUAGGUUUACUUCAGAAGAUUUGAAUUAGUUGGUUGGUUUUUGCAAGUGAUGCUGCUGAAAGUAACGUUGCUGUUCUGAUUACAAGUUACCUGGUCAAGUUUUAUUCGGAUAUGACACCUGAAAAUUUCAUUGUUCAUCACAUUGAUAUGUCUUAAGAGACUAAUUUCAUGUAAUUGGUUCCAACAUGGUCAACAUAGAGCUGAUAAUUCUAUUAUUUUUGGUAUAUGAGCAGGUACAUUAUCUUGUAAGGUACUUCUUAGCACCUUCCUUAUGCUCAAUUCACUACAACAUUUUGCUAUUAAUGUCUUUUGGACAUUUUUUAGGAAGUGGGUUCCCACAGAGUAACUCAUUUCCAACGUAUAUGGAUGGAUCUUGAAAUUUGAGAAGCUUAGGUAUGCUCCCCUCCAGUUUAUUGUAUGAAAGAUUAAGCCUUUGCAGAGAAGAUAUUGCUGCCAAGCUCUGAGGAAUGGGUCCAGAAAACUUGUU